rnacentral:rRNA from 1 species
GAUCAUGGCUCAGGAUGAACGAUGGCGGCGUGCCUAACACAUGCAAGUCGAACGAAGCACCUUACCGGAUUCUUCGGAUGAAGGUCUGGUGACUGAGUGGCGGACGGGUGAGUAACGCGUGGGUAACCUGCCCUGUACAGGGGGAUAACAGCUGGAAACGGCUGCUAAUACCGCAUAAGCGCACGAGGAGACAUCUCCUUGUGUGAAAAACUCCGGUGGUACAGGAUGGGCCCGCGU